AACGUAGGAGACAAACGUUAUCCGGAGUUACUGGGCGUAAAGGGCGUGUAGGCGGUUUGUUAAGUCUGGCGUGAAAGCUCUCGGCUAAACCGGGAGAGGUCGUUGGAUACUGGCAGACUAGAGGACGGUAGAGGCGUGUGGAAUUCCGGGUGGAGUGGUGAAAUGCGUAGAGAUCCGGAGGAACACCAGUGGCGAAGGCGACACGCUGGGCCGUACCUGACGCUAAAGCGCGACAGCAUGGGGAGCAAACGGG
rnacentral:rRNA from 1 species